AUUGAACGCUGGCGGCAGGCCUAACACAUGCAAGUCGAGCGGAUGAAGGGAGCUUGCUCCUGGAUUCAGCGGCGGACGGGUGAGUAAUGCCUAGGAAUCUGCCUGGUAGUGGGGGAUAACGUCCGGAAACGGGCGCUAAUACCGCAUACGUCCUGAGGGAGAAAGGGGGGGAUCUUCGGACCUCACGCUAUCAGAUGAGCCUAGGUCGGAUUAGCUAGUUGGUGGGGUAAAGGCCUACCAAGGCGACGAUCCGUAACUGGUCUGAGAGGAUGAUCAGUCACACUGGAACUGAGACACGGUCCAGACUCCUACGGGAGGCAGCAGUGGGGAAUAUUGGACAAAGGGCGAAAGCCUGAUCCAGCCAUGCCGCGUGGGUGAAGAAGGUCUUCGGAUUGUAAAGCACUUUAAGUUGGGAGGAAGGGCAGUAAGUUAAUACCUUGCUGUUUUGACGUUACCAACAGAAUAAGCACCGGCUAACUUCGUG
rnacentral:rRNA from 1 species